rnacentral:lncRNA from 1 species
CAGGAGCCCAGGUGAGGGGGGACGGAAGCCCCAUUCUCAGACUAAAAGGAGCCAGCCAGAGAGACCCCAAGGACAGGCAGAGGGCGCAUCGCCAGAGCGUACAGGAGCAAGUGCGGUUGCCGGGCUGCUGCCUGUCCUCCCUCAUCUGGCCCUCUGGUUUCUAUUUGAGGUCAGCUUCUUCCUCCACUCACAGGGCCCAUCCUGGAUGCACCAUCUCUGUUAGCAUCUGUGUUGCCCGGAGGGUGCUUCCUUGUGUCCUUGAAGCAUUUCCUAAGGUAUGACUCCAACUGUUUGGAUUCCAGGUGUCAUGGAUGCCAACCCAUCAAUCAAAGAUGAACAUCCUUGUCUCCCACAGAGACUAGACUGUUUCCACUUCUGUCUGGAAGGCUCUCCCUGACGAGAGGCGGAGGGCUGUAAUUGCUCUCAAAAUGUAUAAUCACAUCUUACACAUUCCCCAGCACAGAGAAGCAUUUCCAAGUAAGAGAAUCAUAAAAAUACUACAAUAAAUUCUGAAUCUUUGUUUAAAAAAACCUUGCAUAAAAGCCCUGGAAUGUUAGAAAAUCUUCAGAGAUUGAAUGAUUUUCUCUGGAAAGUUGGCAUGUUUGCAAAAACACGGCUGUUAACUCACCUCCUAAUUGGCUUCAGAGUUGCUUGCCUAUCUUAUUUAUAGUUAAUGGCCCACUCUGUACGUGGGAGUCUCUCCUUCAGAGUUAAGCAGCCCGAUUUAAGAGUAAGCUUUCUUCUCUUCACAAGUGUAACAAAGCCAAGACACCCGUACAAUCAGGUUUGCUAAUUUAAUAGUUUGGGAUGUCUUGAUUAUGGUCUAUCCUGGAACUAAGCCUUUCCAGAACAGCCGCCAUCCUUGAUCCAUCUUGGCAUUCUGGAACACACCUGCCACAACCAAGGGCUUCCCAUCCAGUUGGUGAGUCAUUAAAAUAUAUUGAAUGAACACAUAUUCUACCAAGUAAUAGAGAAACAAAACUAAUGAGACUGAAACCUUCUGGCCUCUCAUAUCAAAUGCUAACUUUCAUAUUUGGUCCAGGGUAAUUUUUCACAAAUAGAGCAAUUCAUAAGUUAAGAGGAAGUUAAUGAUGUCCAGAGCACUAGGUAAAAUCUCCCUUAGAAAAGAGAAAAUGCAAUUGGUUUUUCCCCACUUAAUAAACCUUCAAGUCUGCACCCGAAGGCUUUUGAGCUUUGUGUACAUCGGGUUUCCUUAUAGGCACAAAAAGGUAAUAAACACUUACUGUUCAGCAGUUUGUAAAAUGGCAUUGGGGAGCUCUGCCUUCAGAAUGUGUGUGACUUAGAUUGAAUCCACUGUACUCGU